CACAAUGCAUGCAUACAGAAAUCUUGAUUCAGUACAUAUAUAUAACACUUAAUUACACAUGCACAAGAGUGAGAUCACUGUAUUACUAACUAAAGAUUUCCCCCCAGAAUAGUGUUAUUCCCACUAGAUUACUAAAUCAAGAAGAUUGCUUUGUGGCAUUUCCAGGUUCAGAGAACAUUGAAUGGUGUGAGAAGGAUAUGGAUUCAAGCCGCUCCCUUUGUCGUAUUCUCCUUUUAGUUCUAUUUGGAAUAUCCCUCCAAUACCAAUGUUCUGCAAGUGGGAUUGAUGCAAACGAAACAGCGCUACUGUUAGUAAAUGCAUCUGAAGCAUCAGCGAGGAAAAUGCCGGAUACUCUCUUUGGAAUAUUCUUUGAGGAGAUCAAUCAUGCUGGUGCUGGUGGAUUAUGGGCUGAACUUAUCAGCAACAGAGGUUUUGAAUCUGGCGGCCAUAAAUUUCCAUCUAGCAUUGAACCUUGGUCUAUCAUUGGCGAUGAGUCUUCUGUGAUCGUAUCAACUGAUCUUUCAUCAUGCUUUGAUCAGAAUAAAGUUGCACUGCAAGUGCAGGUGCUUUGUGACAAUAAAGGUGCCAAAAUCUGUCCAGAUGGAGGAGUUGGUGUCCAUAACCCGGGAUUCUGGGGCAUGAAUAUUGAACAGGGAAAGAAAUACAAACUGGUGUUUUAUGUGCGUUCCCAAGAGUCGAUAAAUUUAUUAGUAGGUUUAACCGGUUCAAAUGGACUAAAGAAGCUGGCUACUGUUGUCGUAGUAGCUGCAAAUGUAUCAAAUUGGACAAAGGUGGAGGUUUUGUUGGAAGCUGAAGGAACAGAUCCCAAUUCACGACUGGAACUGAGAUCAACCACAAAGGGUGUUAUGUGGUUUGAUCAAGUAUCAUUGAUGCCUCUGGACACAUACAAGGGGCAUGGCUUCCGGAAAGACCUUUUUGGAAUGCUAAAGGCCUUAAAACCAGCAUUCAUCAGAUUUCCAGGAGGCUGUUUUGUCGAAGGCAGCUGGUUAAGAAAUGCAUUUCGGUGGAAAGAAACUAUUGGACCAUGGGAAGAGAGGCCUGGGCAUUUCGGUGAUGUGUGGAAUUACUGGACUGAUGAUGGGCUUGGUCAUUUCGAGUUUCUACAGCUUGCAGAGGACUUGGAUGCAUUGCCAGUUUGGGUUUUCAACAACGGAAUCAGCCACAAUGAUCAAGUUGACACUUUCCAUGUCUUACCUCUCGUGCAAGAAAUCUUAGAUGGUCUUGAAUUUGCAAGAGGUGAUCCUGACUCAAAAUGGGGUUCGAUUCGAGCUGCAAUGGGACAUCCAGAGCCCUUUGAUUUGAGAUAUGUUGCUAUUGGAAACGAGGAUUGUGAUAAGACACAGUACCAUGGAAAUUACCUCAAGUUCUAUUCAGCAAUCAAAGAAGCCUACCCAGAUAUUGAGAUAAUCUCUAACUGUGAUGCUUCUGCCAAAGCAUUGGAUCAUCCGGCUGAUUUAUAUGAUUUUCACAUUUAUGACAAUGCAAGUACUGUGUUCUCUCUUGCCAACCAUUUCGAUGGCGCACCACGCAAUGGACCGAAGGCUUUUAUAAGUGAGUAUGCUGUGCACGGAAAUGAUGCUGGAAAAGGUAGUCUUUUAGCAGCAUUGGCUGAAGCUGGUUUCCUCAUUGGGGUAGAAAAGAACAGUGAUGCAGUUGAAAUGGCAAGCUAUGCACCCCUAUUUGCUAAUAACAAUGACUGGACGUGGAAAGCAGAUGCGAUUGUUUUCACUUCUUCACAGGCCUAUGGAACCCCUAGUUAUUGGAUGCAACACCUUUUCAAAGAGUCAAACGGCGCAACUCUUCUAAGUUCAACACUCCAAGCUAAUUCUUCAGAUUCGCUAAUAGCAUCUGCCAUAACCUGGCGAAAUGAGAUUGAUGACAACGAGUACUUAAGAAUAAAGGUUGUGAACUUUGGGAGCAGCACAGUUACUCUUAAAAUCUCUAUUAGUGGAUUGGAGCAGAACUCAUUCCAGUCCUUUAGGGCGACAAAAACUACAUUAACAUCUACCAAUGUGAUGGAUGAGAAUUCUUUUGAAGAUCCUAAGAAGGUGUCACCAGUUGAAACUAUGGUCGAAAAAGUUAGCGAGAACAUGGAUAAAGGGCAGCCCGGUGCACAAAGCAUCCCGCUUCCAUGCAGGGUCCGGGGAAGGGCCGCACCCCAAAGGGGUGUGAUAUAGGCAACCUAUCUGAUGCAAGCAUAAUGGAUCAACAUUAAUCUGCCAUUCUUGCAAACGUCUUGAGGUUACCAACAAGCACGCUUUCUUCAUCACUCUCUGUAUUAUCAGAACCGGCGCUAUAUAGCAAUCAAGGCACUUCUUUCGUUGCAAAACCUGAAGACUAAUGCAGAACGGAUUACAACUUCUUAUAUAUGGUGUAUAACAUGAACAUCAAAGAGGAAUUAAAGAUUGAUAGUAACAUACAUGGGUAGGAAUUGAAGUAGAAGAAAAACUUGAAGAAUUAGAGGAUGCAUGAGAGGGGAGAGGAGUAGUGGGUUAACGUUGGGUAUUGAACAGUAGGAUUUGGAAUUUCUUUUCUGAAUAACCAUUGGAGCAAAAUGGCUUUUGCCGGAAUAAGAAGAAAAACGUAAAGAUAGUCGCAUGCAAUGAUAAGCGCUGGUUGCAGUUUACAACUCUUAUUAUUGGGAUUUAUAACUCGCUUUUACAAGCCACAUUUAACGAUUGCGAUUUAUAAGUCGCACUCGUAAUUCCCAGUAUUAACUGCGAAUUGUAUG